CUUUAACGUCCCACAGAAUUGUCAACGUUAUAUGUGAACAAGGUUUUGUGAGACGGAACCUUCGGUUAUCGUCCUUAUCCGAGAAGACUAGAAAGUCUAAUCAUUUGCAG